UAACAAGGUUUCCGUAGGUGAACCUGCGGAAGGAUCAUUAACAUAAUAUUCUUACACACUGUUUUUUUACAACAAAAAAAAUCUAUCUAAAAACAAUUCUUUACAAGAAAUUCUUAAAACUUUCAACAACGGAUCUCUUGGUUCUCGCAUCGAUGAAGAACGCAGCGAAAUGCGAUACGUAAUACGAAUCGCAGCUCUCGGAAUCAUCGAAUCUUUGAACGCACAUUGCACCAUUGGGUAUUCCCAAUGGUAUGCUUGUUUGAGCGAAUACUUCCCUAAUCCUCACGGAUUGUAUUGUGUUUGCACGAAAAUAAUGACGACAGUACUCUACAAAACGGUACCGUCAGUACACUCAUUUUUUUUCCUCAAAUCAAGUAGGACUACCCGCUGAACUUAAGCAUAUCAAUAAGGCGGAGGAA
rnacentral:rRNA from 1 species